rnacentral:rRNA from 1 species
UACGUAGGGUGCAAGCGUUGUCCGGAAUUAUUGGGCGUAAAGAGCUCGUAGGCGGUCUGUCGCGUCGGCUGUGAAAACCCGGGGCUCAACCCCGAGCCUGCAGUCGAUACGGGCAGACUAGAGUGCGGUAGGGGAGACUGGAAUUCCUGGUGUAGCGGUGAAAUGCGUAGAGAUCCGGAGGAACACCGAAGGCGAAGGCAGUGUCCUGGGGAGUACCUGACGCUCAGGUGCGAAAGCCAGGGGAGCGAACGGG